UCCUUUUAUUAUUAUUUUUAUUUUUCACUUGCAGAAUAAAAUAUUGGCCCAGGAAACUCAAUGGGAGAGUUCUCAUUGAUUUUUACCUAAGCAAGAAUGUCAGCUUUAUAUUGGAAAAUGCGUAAGCAAAAACCAAAGAUUUCAAAAAGAAGUAACAUGCUCUAUAACAGCAGCAGACAUAGAUAAUAAAAACAGGUAACCUUUUGAGUGCACAAGCAUUGCAGUUCAUAUUGCAUUAGGUUAAAUAUUUGCCUGAAGCUAAAAUAUACAUGAACAUAAGCUGAACCCAGUAGGGCAAAUAUUUUAACUAAUCCCCCAAUUAAUAAUCGUUUUCAGAAAUAAUACUGAAAAUACACUCAUCUCAGGCUUCCAUUUUUAGGUUGAAACUCAUAAAGCACAAAGCUUCACCACAACCAAAAUAUUGGAAGGGAAAACAAAUAAAAUAAAGACUAAAAAUAACAUUGUGAUUUGCUCUAGGUUAUUUUCUCUGCCAUCACAGUGCAAAUUGAAAACCAGCUAAGAAUAAAUCUUCACAUAGAUAAGUUAAGAACUCAUAAGAAACAGAAGACAAAAAUCGACCACAUCCUGACUGGGUUAAAAAUUUAGACAGAAUCACUAAGGCUGACAAAAUUAUGUUGCAGAUUCUGCUACAAACAAUACAAGAUGCAGAAUCCAGCUGUUUGAAACUAGAACUGAAAGAAAAGCAGAGCGCAUCACAUAUCAUCCAAUCAGGCUGACACCUCUGAUCUCCAUUUAAGGACGACACGUGACAAAAAUGUUUGAAAUUCUAUACGAUUUUUCUCCUAUGUUGGAGCAAGAGCAACAGUUGAAGAGAAUAUGACAAAGCAGUAACAAAGAAACGCAAAAUAACCACAGAGGCUAAGUAUGAAAUACAACAAUAGUAACAAUUUAAAAAAAAAACAAAAAACCUGCAGACUAGUGUUAAAAUGCCAUAAAGCACAGUUUAUUAUUUAAGAUCAAACGAUCCAAGGAGAGCUACAACUGAAUCUAAACUUCGCCAGGAGCUUCUGCAUUGGCUCUGAAAGUCACCUUGCCUUUGGCCUCUAACCUUAAUCUGCUGGAGAUACUACUCACUGCUGGCAGCACCAAGUCCUACAAAAGGCACAACCAUUAUCUCUCAGUCUGAC
rnacentral:lncRNA from 1 species